UUUCUUCGGAGAGUUUGAUCCUGGCUCAGGAUGAACGCUGGCGGCGUGCCUAAUACAUGCAAGUCGAGCGAACUGAUUAGAAG
rnacentral:rRNA from 1 species